AUUUCAAUAUGGAUACCUUAAUCAACAAUUGUUUCAGGAAAUAUUUGAGACCGAGAGCAAUGCGGUCAAUAGAAUCAGUGUUUAUUUCGUAAAAGUUUUUAUAUUUUUUGAAGUGUUUGAAAUUCUAUUUAAAUUAUAAUAGUUUCGCGAGAUUAAAAUCAGUGUUUUUUCGCCAGUUUGAACUUAACGGUCGUGUUAUUUAUUCUUUUUUUUUUAAAAUAUUCGUUUCCGAUAUAUAUUCGAAUCAGUGCUUUAGAAGAUAAAUCAAUCAUCCGUUAUGCAAAAAGAUGUUUCACAGAUCUCAAGUCUUGCUAUUUAAAAAUAGUCUUCUCAAUGACUUUCCAUUGAUGAUAAUAUUGAUGGCAGUUUUUCGCAUCUAAUGGUGAGUCGCAUGCAUUUUUGUUCCUCUAGUUACUCAAUCAUAUCGUAGGAUAAAAGAUCCGAAUCGAUACGAGUGACUGGUUGUAUAUGUAGAACUUUGCACGAGCACAGUGACCACGGAUAUUUACCGUGAAUAAUAAAUUUUCUUUUUCUGUGUUUUAUUUAUUAGUUCAGGUUAGGUUUUCUUGCGCAUCACAUUUUCUAAUAUUAAUAAUUUUUUUAUAGUAAUAUAUUAAUACAAUAUCAUAAUUAUUUUAAAUAUUUGUAGUUGAAAAUUUUUGGCUACAAUCAAUUAAUAUAAACUUUGAAUAAAAUAUAAAAUUAGAAAUUUAUAAAAUGAGAAAAUAUUUAGUAUAGAUAUGCAUUCAAAUAUCCAUAUGAAUAUGUAUGUAUAAAUAAAGAUCAUGAAUAUUUAAAUGAAUAAUAAAUAAUAGAAAUAAUUUCAAUUGUGUAAUGGAAAAGUCAGAUAUUUCCUGACUUCAAUGUAAUUAUUAUACAAUAAUUAUAUGAAUGCAUAUCAUUAAUGUGAUAAUAAAUCAUUUUCAAUUUUAUUUCUUUCGCUUUAUAGUAAUAUUUUAAAACAUAUAUUUAUUUAAUUUUUAUGCUAUAAACUUCGCGAUAUAAUUUGAUAUAUAUUUUAAUAAAAGUUUUAUUUCUUAUGUAUAAAAAUAAAUUAAAUUUUAUGCGCAAGAAGACGUUUCGCGACAGACAGAUUUCUGAAUUAAAGCAACAAGUUUUAAAUGCUUUCAUGUUUUCAAAAAUAUGCUUUGAUAAAGAAAUCGCCUGAGGUUACUUGCAUUAAUAUUUAUAUCACAUUGCAAUGAAUUUUAGUUUCACUUUAAAGAGAUAAAUUUCAAUAUUUUAA